rnacentral:rRNA from 1 species
GAGUUUGAUCGUGGCUCAGGACGAACGCUGGCGGCAUGCCUAAUACAUGCAAGUCGAACGCACGAAGUUGAAAAGCUUGCUUUUCGACCAAGUGAGUGGCGGACGGGUGAGUAACACGUGGGUAACCUGCCCAUAAGAGGGGGAUAACAUUCGGAAACGGAUGCUAAUACCGCAUAUUUCAAGUGACCGCAUGGUCGCUUGAUGAAAGGUGGCUUCGGCUACCACUUAUGGAUGGACCCGCGGUGCAUUAGUUAGUUGGUGAGGUAAUGGCUCACCAAGACCAUGAUGCAUAGCCGACCUGAGAGGGUGAUCGGCCACACUGGGACUGAGACACGGCCCAGACUCCUACGGGAGGCAGCAGUAGGGAAUCUUCCGCAAUGGACGAAAGUCUGACGGAGCAAUGCCGCGUGAGUGAAGAAGGUUUUCGGAUCGUAAAACUCUGUUGUUAGAGAAGAACAAGGAUGAGAGUAACUGCUCAUCCCCUGACGGUAUCUAACCAGAAAGCCAC